rnacentral:rRNA from 1 species
ACACCGGCAGCUCUAGUGGUAGCAGUUUUUAUUGGGCCUAAAGCGUCCGUAGCCGGUUUAAUAAGUCUCUGGUGAAAUCCUGUAGCUUAACUGUGGGAAUUGCUGGCGAUACUAUUAGACUUGAGACCGGGAGAGGGUAGAGGUACUCCCAGGGUCGAGGUGAAAUUCUGAAAUCCUGGGAGGACCGCCUGUUGCGAAGGCGUCUAACUGGAACGGUUCUGACGGUGAGGGACGAAAGUUAGGGGCGCGAACCGGAUUAGAUACCCGGGUAGUCCUAACUGUAAACGAUGCGGACUUGGUGUUGGGGUGGCUUUGAGCUGCUCCAGUGCCGAAGGGAAGCUGUUAAGUCCGCCGCCUGGGAAGUACGGUCGCAAGACUGAAACUUAAAGGAAUUGGCGGGG